GCAGUUUUCAGAUGCAUCUCUCCUCCAACACACCAGGAUCAAACAAACAGCCUUUUACCAGACCUCUGCAGAGCUGAAUGACUGAUGAGGGAAUUCAGCCCUUUGAUUCAGGUCUGAUGGAGAAGAGAUGUGAAUAAAAACUGCAGCAUAGCAGCUCUGGUGGAGUGAAGUUUGAAAGCCUGAUCUAGAGUAGGACGAUGCUGCUGGGGACAAACUGGAUACAAUGGACAGUGACACAGCUUGUGGUGAUCAUCAGUUGAACUGGUCUCUGGGAUGUUGGUGAGAAGGUAGAGAGAUGACGCUAGGUGGGGCUAACUGAUUUAGUCAAGUUUGAGGCAGAGGACAGGACUCAUGUAGUGGUUUUGGUUGUGAGUGGCACCGACUGUUAGAAACAGCUUUCCGAUGUGACUUGGUCUAGUUCUAGAUGUUCCUCUGGUCAGUUAGUUUUCAGGCCUAGUUGGAGGGAAAAGAACCCUCUGCAGAAAUAUUCUCCAUAUGAUCAAGGCCUGUCCUGACCGCAGUGGAUCUCUUCUGUGUUUUUUGAAUCCCAUGUUGGAGCGAGCCUCUCCAAGCUUUGGGCCAUCAGAAGAUGCUGAUGAGAUCUGCAGCGACCAAACCAGCGGAGGAUCAUCUGAGCUGCCGACCUUCACAAAGAGUGAGAGCAUAUUCAACACUGUGGACGUCCAAAAGCAGAACUCCUGUGAGGAACCGGGACAUCCAGGACGGUGAGGAGCUUCCCAGUCCCCACCUGAGGACGGCACAGAGAAAGACUGGAACAGAAAACACACGGAGGAAAGCAGGUUGAACAUGGAAGCAGUGUUCUAGCAGUCGGAUCACAUCGGAACAGAGUCCAUCCACACGUGUUUGGAGGAGCUGAAGAAGAGGAUGAAGCACACAGACCGCUAAGGAGGAGAGACAUGGCUCCUAUAUUUCUCUUUAACAUUCUGGAGUCCUGGAGUAAAACAACGUUGACGACCCCGCAGCUAAACCAUCAGUCUGCUACACCCAGUAGAAGAAGAUGAGGUCAUCUGUUCCUUGGACCGGCGCCUCUGUGUCUGUUGGACGUCAAUAGAUGGGCUCUGACAUGGAGGUUCCUUCCUGUUUGAAGCUAGUUUUCCUCUCUACUGUGACCACUUCAUUGCUCAGGAGGGACUGCUGCAAAAUUAACGACCGGAUGUGAUUGGCUGAGCUUCCUUGGAUUGAAGACAUUUCUCUAAACUCCAUAAUAAGCUGAAUUUAUCUUCACCAUGUUGUAAAUAGGAUUGGACUGGACUGGAUGUUUGUUUUUCAAUUUGAUUCUGUUUGUGUUGAAUUCUGUUACAUGUUUCUGUAUUAAAGCUGUCAUGUUAAUUGCCUUUAGAUGACAUUUGUUGGGACUUGUUUCUAUUUUAUAAGACUGUAUUAUAAUAAAUCCCCCUACUGGGUCUGGUUCUGUUGAAGAAUGUUUCCUGUCGUUCUAUCUUCUGUUAUUUCUCACUAU